rnacentral:misc_RNA from 1 species
AACCAAGGGAAAGAAAGUCCUCUUAUCACUGCGCUCUGAGCGCAGACGCGAGAGAGAGGGAAAAACAUGUUAGCGGUGCGAGCGCGAGGCUUAAGCCAGAACCUCAAGCUCUUCGUUCUCUACAAACAUCGUCCCUUAACAACGUUAUCUGCAGCAAAGCGAGUGGGCACUCGCGAUGGCACCUUUCACUGCGACGAAGCUCUCGCCUGCUCCAUCAUUCGCCUCACUAAUGCCUUCUCCAAUGCUCAAAUCGUCCGUACAUGGGACCCCCAGGUGCUGGACACACUUGAUGCGGUGCUUGAUGUUGGAGGCAUGUAUGAUCCAAGUCGACAUCGUUUUGAUCAUCACCAGAAUGAAUUUGACCAGGUGUUUGGCCAUGGCUUCACCACUAAACUUAGUAUUGCUGGCCUUGUCUAUAAGCAUUAUGGGUUGGAGAUAAUCGCGAAAGAGCUUCAGCUGGAUGAGAGACACCCAAAUGUGCAUCGGUUACUUCUAGCGGUCUAUAAAAACUUUGUGGAGGUUCAUGUUCCAAAUGUGGCUCCCUUUAGUUUGAUGACAAAUUCAUUCACAUAAGAUAAAUGAGAGGGGGAAGAGUCGAUGAAUCUGUGAUUGCUGGGCUAAGGGUGCUGGAAUGGCGGGUAUAAAGAUAGUAACAGGCAGACCGUAAAGCUGUAGGUUGUGCUUAAUGUGGUCAAGUUGGUUAGUGAUUGGACAAGAUCUAAUGUGAUUUCUAUUAAGAAAUGAGAGAAAGGAAGAAUUGGAAAAAGCUGCAGUUGAUGCUAUUGAUAAUGGAAUUAGUCAAUAUGACUCAAAUCAACCUCCUAGAUAUGUGAAUAAUGCAAGUUUAUCUUCUAGAGUGGGAAGAUUAAAUCUGGACUGGAUAGAUUCUAAUCAGUCUUUAGAGAGAGAGGAUGAAGCCUUUAAACAUGCAAUGGAACUUGCCGGCCACGAAUUUCUGGAGGUUUGAUAUUUUACAAUGUGCUAUAUUUACUUUGGUUAUGUUGUGGCGAAAUUCUUUAAUUCCCAAUCUUGCUGCCAGCUUACCAGGAAGAGAGUUUAGCAUACUUCUGAUGGAGAAAUAAAGAAAUUGAUUAUAUGAAUGCAUCAAACAUAUGUUAUUAAGAUCUUCUUAACAAUGUUGAUGUCACAGAGUAUUAAUUUUCAUGCAAACUCGUGAUUACCAGCUCGGUCAAUUGUUAUGGAAUGUCUUGCAUCAAGAGAAGAUAUUGACCACAGUGGAGAGAUCAUGGUGCUGACUAGGUCUUGCCCUGUAAGAGAAUAUUGACCAUAUUGUUAGCUUCAUUGAUAGCCUUAUUGUGUAUCUGUGAGAUUUUAUGAACUGAUGUCUUGAGUAACUGAAUAUCCUUACAUUUCCAACCCUUUUAUGCUGAGCCUCAGUACCAAAACAAUUGGAUAGCAUAUAUGUGCUAUGGCCAAUUUUUCUUUGGAAGAGAAGAAAGAAAGAAAACUUGGAUUUUGACCUUUGUAUAUUUAAUAUAAAUUAGACAUGACAUAAUAUAUAGCUCAAAUAGACUAUUUAAUUGUGUUGUAGUCAUUGAUUAGAAGUUUAAUUGCAUUGAAUCUUUCUGACAGUGGAAACUCCAUAUAUUUGAGCUUGAAGAAGAAAUGAAGAUUGAUCCUUCAAUCAAAUAUGUUAUUUACCAGGUACCCAUCCUCCUCUUUUAUCUUUUUGUUGCCAAUGCCAUCAGAUGCAGGUGAGGCCACGUGUGAAUAAAGCACCAAUUAUUGUACUCAUUGAAACCGGCUUAAUGCUGAGCUUUUCAAACCAAAAUUCUCAGAUAUUCACUUGACAUUUUUCCUUGCAAUAGAGGUGCUCAUUUUUGUUAUGCAUGAGUCUUGAUUAUCUUUUGGCCUUUUCAACAUGUUUGUUUUGAAUACUUGUACCAUCUGCAGGAUGAUAGGAGUGAAAAUUGGCGACUACAAGCAGUGGCAGUAUCACCUGAUAAGUUUGAGAGUAGGAAACCUCUACCACUUGCUUGGAGAGGUUUAGUAGAUGAUGAACUUUCUGAGGUGACAGGAAUCCCUGGCUGUGUUUUUGUCCAUAUGAGUGGAUUCACUGGUGGAAAUCGAAGUUACGGAGGUGCUCUUGCAAUGGCAAGGGCUUCUUUAAAGAUUUAAAGCACACAGCAGUCAUUAUCAUUGUGAGAAACAGUCAUUAUCAUUGUGAGAAAGUACUGCUACAUUGACUAUCUGGAAGCAUUAAAUGGUGUGCCUCCAAGACCUGCCAUGAUGAAUUUGAAUUGCUUCUUGGACCUGCCUGCACUUUUCAAAUAUGAUUGUAUGGACAAUUUGGUGGGAAUAUUGGCAGAUCUAUCUCAUGUAAAUCUUCUCUGGAAGCCGUGCAUAAUGUCACUCCUUAAAUUGUUUUGAAGAGAUACUUUUUCGAUCUUGGUAAUUGAUAGAUUUCUAGAGCAUUCGAGUGAAAAUUUAUUCUCUGUAUCAGAGACCAUAUCCUUACUCUUAUUGACAAGAACAGAAUCAAAUCAGUGUACUUGAAAUAAGUGAAGCCCCCAUUUUUUUUAUUGCAUCUCUUUUAAGAAAAUGUCUUUGAAACACAAUGGACAAGGUCCAGAAAAAGAUCAUGGAGUUGACUGUUAAACUUUUCCAUUUUAAUGUUUGGUUAUUAUGCCAUCUUCAAUGAUAUUGUUAGAAUUAUAUUAAGGUUUUUCAAUGUUACCAUUUCACAUGCAUUCUAAUUAUAUGCAGAUAAACAAUGUACGACAAAAAUUUUAACAGUCUUAUGAGAUACUAGCAUCUCAAGAGGAUCAAAGCUCAGUCUUGAUCCAAGAUUGUCUCAAAUCUUUGGACCAAAAUUAAGUCAAUGCACUAAUCAUCUUCACUGGGAAAGAACUUGAGUCUCUGUAGAGGCGCACUAUCUUUAAAACUGAUGAUGCUUUACUCUUCAGAAACUGUUGGCAACCCCUCUUUAAACCAUGAAUAAAGGCCUCCUUCUAAGUGGAAGACAUUUGUGUAUCCAUUAAGAACUAAAAGGUAGGCUGCUAUCAGGGAUCUAGACUGUUGACCUUCAGGGAGACUUUGGGAUGGUUUUGUUGUACCCCCAGCUGAGCAAGCCACUAUUAUCUUUGCAUUUUUAUCUAUUUUUGAUUCCACAAUCUGUAGAAACUCAGGGUUUUCUUCUGUGCCUGCAAAGAUGCCAAAAAAUGCAAAUGCAGCUCUCCUAGCAAUGUCCCAUGCGGUCCACUCCUUUAUAAGCCUAUAUAUUUGCACAUUUAUAGCACCUGGUGGAUGAGCCUCUUUGAACUCUGCUUCAGGCCGGACGUCAAGAAUCACAAAAUUAUUCUCUUUCUGAAGGCGCAGAGCUUCCUUUACAUCUACACUCCUUACCUUUUUCUGCAGAAGCAGUUCUCUCUUAACCUUCCAUUCUUCUUCAGCUGGUGAUUUUGCAGGUUUUGUUGCUGCACUCAGGACUCUCAGGCUCCUUGAAACUGUCUGGUUUGAGGACAAUCUCCCCCUCACAUACCCUUUUGAUCUGACAGUGAACAAAGAUGAACUAAGGUCUUGAACAGAUUUGGAAGAGAAAAUUAAUGGUGAUGACUGAAAAUUUGGAUACA